GCGACAACUGCGAGUCCGCCCUUCCCGGGGUCCCGGCGAGGUGUGGGGCGGGGUGGGCGCCGACCCGCCCAAGGUCAUCCGCGCCCCGCCGGGGAGGCCCUGGGACCCCGCGGCAGGCGGGGGCGGGGCCUUCUGCGUCCACGUAGCCCCGGAGGCGGAGCGCUCGGCCGCGCCGCCGUCCGCCCAGCCCGGGUUUGCGUUCUUGUGCGGUGGCCCUGGGGGGCUCGCGGGGUGCCCCGUGCGCGGUUCAUGGGAGCGGGCCCCGCCGCCGGGUGCCCGAGAGUGGCGGAGUGACGUGUCCGGCUUCUCCCGUCGCCGGCCGGGCGCGCGCUGAGCCCUGGGCUGGGCUGCUCACUGUUGGGGCUGUUGCUGCCCCCGCCCCCGCCUUUGAUUUUAUACCAGAUUGAUGUCAAAACGAUGUGAGGAGGCUUACCGAGAUAUGAAAGCAAACGUCCCCCCGACUUUUUUUUUUUUUUUCCUUUUUGGCAUUUUCUCAUAAAGUCUCACAACUGCCUUGCCGCUGCCAGUUGCCCUGUUAAAAAUCGGCAUUCCUCUGCAGUUUGCCCACUUCAGCAACCUCCGCCAAAUGCCUACUGUGUGCCGGUCGCUGCUCGGGGCUCUAAGGUGCCUGAGUCACGGGUGGGAAAGAGGCGACUCUAAACCUGGUUAAGGUAUCAAGGAGAGCCAGGAAGUACUCACCUUCAAGAUCAGGCCGAUGGGACUGUAUAUGUGCCUAAGUUUAUUAUGAGUGUCGCUGAUAGCAAGCCUGGGCAGCACACCGACUACCAAGAAUGGUAAACAGCAGUCUUGCUCCUAAAUCUCUUAGAGCCCACUGGUGCUCGGAGAAUGCUUUUGCUUGCUUUCGCUGGGCUCUUGUACCCUGGCCAACCUGCAGUUGAAAGUCUCCCCGUGAUCUGGCAAAUUGAGUUGCCUCCCAACCUACUAUUUCCCCAACAAACUUAUCAGUAAAUGUAAUCUGUGAUAUGAACCUGGUUGAUGUUAUGUUAAUAAGCAAGACAGAAAGGAAGCCAGAAAGACCUCAGGAUUUCAUCAAUGAUGUGAGCAACUCCUUUGCCAAAUUUGAUCGUGGUUUACAGAUCCAGUUUUUCCUCAAGGUUUUAUGGUGUUUAUAUGGUUUUAUGGUGUUUACAGUAUAAAGGCUACAGACUUAACAUAAAGUUAAGUCUAACUACAUUGUUAAUUUUCACUAUUACUUUCUUAAGUCUAGAUUGGGGGUUCGGUCAGAUGGCAAAUAUUUUAGGCCCUGCCAGACACGUAUAAUCUCUGUUGCGUAUUCUUUGUUUUAUCUACCCCCCUUUUCAACCUCCAAGCUCUGAACUAUACAAUUUUCAGAUUCCCACAACUUAAAGAUUCCUCUGAUGGCCAAUUUCAGGCUACCAACGUGGAGUGUCUGAGUGCAGGUUGAGAAUGUUAUUUCCAGCAUAUGGAUCCAAUAGAUGUAAAUAAUCUCAAGAGCGUAGGCCAUGGUAGGAUAAUCGGGAGGUAAUGUAUUUUGAGACCUUGUUGUCAAUAGUACUGCUUUUACUGUAAAUUUAUAUCACUUAACUUUCGAUAAUAUCUGUUUCAGAAUUCCCGAAAAUUUAACAUUUGGUUCUCAUGAGCCAGCUCCAGCUUGGCACUGGUCUUACCUCUAAGUGGAGAUGGGGGUGGGUAAGUUAGGCUUCUGGGUUGGUGGUCAAUGUUCAGUUUCUUCACCUGGGUUCCACUUAGGCACACCCCAAGGGGACCCGCAGUGAGUCCACAGCCUGUAUCAUUGCCCCACUUCUGAGUGUGGACUGGACCGGUCAAUGCGCUUCUAAUAGAUAAUAGAAUUUGGUGAGAGGAGUAAGAUGUCCCUCCCUUGACAAUAUCAUGUCGUAUGUGAAGGAUGAUGGAUGUCACGCCCAUCAUGCUCAUGUUCCUGGGGUGACUGGACGCAGACUCUCCUGCUGGCCUUGCAGGAGCAAACAGCCAAGUGAAGACCAUGUGGCAGGAGACUGUGGGCAGCCUCUGGGACCUGAGGGUGGCCUCCAGCCAGCAGCCAGGAAGAAGCUGGGGCUCUCGGUCAUGCAGUCACAAGGAUCUGCAUCUGCUGGCGACCUGAAUGAGCUUGAAAGGGCCGCACCUCCAGGUGAGAACAAAGCUCAGCCUGUACCUGGAUUAUAGCCCCGUGAGACCCUGAGUGGGACCCAGCGAAAGCCGAGCCCUGGUUCCUACCCCACGGAAGCGGAGACACACCAAGGCCAAACAGCAAGCCAUCAUUCACCGAGACAAGUCUUCGUUUCCCAGGGAGCAGGCCUGUUAUCUGUGGGCCAGCAUUUGGAUUGUCCCGUUGCAGAGAGAAAUGGCUUUUUUGUCCAGAUGCUGCGGCCCCUGUCAGGCACAAGGAGCAACAGUCCUCGAUUUUUAUGCCUCCGGAUGGAAGCACAUUCUUUUUCAUAAAAAUUUAAUUUAAAAAUAGAAAGAAAGGGGGGAAAGCCGGCACAAAGAACACUGGAGGGCCAUCCGUUCGCGUGAGGGCGGAAGUCCAUCCAAAACAAGUGCAUCAUAUUAGCUUGGAAAAUCAGAUGAAUAAAGAGACAACAAUUCAUUGGAAAGGCAUCAUCCUUGGCCCAGCAAUAUAGGGAGCGUACUUCAAAGUACAGAAUUAGGCGCACCUCGGACACGGCGAUCGUCUUGUGAAUCUAAAACAGGUUUGGUACAGACGACAGGAAGGGUGGGGUGGGGAGGGACACAUAGGAUCAUCGCGCUGGGUGAUCAAUAGGGCGCUUCACCCCAAGAGGGCAGACGCUCUCCUCACAAAAAUAAUAAACCCGAGAAACAGAUUAUGCAGCUUGAUUUGUGAUCGGCAAGGCCUGCUCACUCCUUAAGUGUUAACGGAAUUAAAUGACUGGAAUGUAUCUAUGUUUGGAGUAUGGAUAGUCCACCCUAGCACGCACUGGAAUCAAAUAGCUGGGGGCGGCGGGGGGCGUGGGGGGAUUCCUACCAGGGCAGUUAAAAAGUACCUCUGCACCUCGCUAUUGUGGUUUUUUUUUUUAUUAAAAAAAUGACACUCUUAAUAGGAGAGAUGAUUAUGAUAAUGGUUCUCCAGUGCUUCCUAAGGAUCCAUCAUACCAGUUAAGGGAGGAAAUUUAAGGUACAGCAGGGGGCCAGCUCACUAUCAUUCCAGGAAGGGCUCAGGCACUUGAUGGCUCAUCUUUUUGAAAAAUGCCACUAAUAAUUAGAGAGUUUUAUGUUUCACUUUAUGGUUUGUAGCACAAAUCAAUGCACAGGGUUCCCCCCCACACACACACAGAAAUCCGACACGUUUCUCCCACCCCAUCCUCCUCGAUACAGGCUUUCUUGCCCCCCAGCUGAAGCAGAGACCAGAAGGUGGCCAAGCCUCUGACCUACCUUCACAAUGCGGCACAGAACACAAUGCUGCAUUGCAGCGCUCUCUGCUGCGAAAUGAUCUUCCAUCCGGGGCAAUAAACAAGACCAUCUAACCUCCUCGAUGAUCACACCUUCCACCUUACGAGGCGUGAGUGCUGCUGCCAGCUUCCCAAAACAUUGCCAAGAAUAACACCUUGAAGAUUCGAGGGUCCUAGUUUUUGCUUGCAUGCCCAGGUUUAUUCUAAAUAUCCUCCAGGACCUGCAUUUGCUACUCUUGGUGUGGUAAGAAAACGCUUGCCAGGGAGGAUUUCCAACCUGGGACUGUGGUCAUGUGCGUUUAGAGGUGGGUGAGAAACAGGCAGCCGCUCCCCGUGGCCUGGAGUCCGCGACGUCCAAUCUCAUUUUGUCUUGCAGCGUUUGGCUCCAUCUUCUUCCCUGUUCAGACCUCAGAGAAUUUCUGGUCGCACUCCUACACUUGGGUCUGUGUUUUUUUUUUUAAGCUUGAGUUCCCAUGAUAAUUUUAGGUUGAAACAUAUGAAACAUAUGAAAUUAGUAACCGUGGGCUGCAGUUGACCUUUCUUGAACGCUAGUAGUGAUCCAGCCCGAUGAUGAGCAGCAUGACUGAGAUCUGGCUUACCUACCAGGCGCUGCACCAAGCCUUCUACACACAGGUCCCCCCGACCCCGUCUAGUCUGGAGAUUUACAGGAGGUGGGGAAACAGGCAUGGGGUGGGAUCGAGUAACUCGCCCAGGGUCACGCAGGUAGUAAGUUGUGGGAGCUGCACCUGAAACCUGAGGGGGUUGUCCACGCACCCACUGCACCCGUAUGCCAUCAGCUCUCCUAACCUCAGGGGCAGAAGCGUAUUGUCACCUGUGUGGGUGACGAAGCAUUUUGUAGGAAGGAUUAAGGGAAAGCUUUUUGCCUAUGUAUUUUAGAAAAUUCCCCUUCAGCUAAUAAAUUUCAGCAAUUUGCAAGGAGCAGGGGGUACAGAGAGCCCCAAGUGGGUUUUGACAACACCUCGGUCUAGGAGCUAAACCAGCCGCGGCCCUCAGGUGACCCCCUUCACUUCUUUAAACUUCUGUUCACUUGUCUGCACUGUCAAACGGGGCCGGUGAUCAUGCCUUCACGGGGUCGUUUAGAGAAUGAAAUAAGGUAGUCGAGGUGCUUGCACGGUGCCUGGCACACAGCAAGAGCUCAAUAAAGGUUAACGGAAAUAAAGUAUGAUACAGUGAAUUGCCAAAGGGAAAGAUCUGCUUGUGGGACGAGUCUGGUUAAUUUUUCACCAGCAGCUUCUGUGGUCUGGGAAGAGACACAUCGAGCUGAGUCCCCCGCCUCCCCACUGUCGAAGCAGGACAACAAUGGUCCCUAACCACCUCCCGAGGAUGAAUGACAAGGUGAAACUGCAGGGGUCCUGGAGAAGAUCGUGCACUCUUAGCAAACUCUUGUAGAGAUACACGCUGAGUUACCGGAAAUGAUAUAAUGCCUGAGAUUUGCUCCAAAAUAAUUCAGGAGGAUUUGGGUGGCUUAUUGAUGAAACAAGCCUGACCCAACGCUGAUCCUUGUGGAGGCUGGGCGACGGGUCCGUGGAGAUUUAUUUUCUUAUUCUGUCCUCUUCUGUACAUGUUUGAUGUGUUUCCAUAUUUCAAAGUUUGCAAAGAUGCACUUAAGAGUCUCUCAAAAGAGCUGAAUUGGCGGAGUCCUCCAGUGGUCACUGACGAAAUGAGGUUGGAAUGAGGCAGUGCUACAUAUUGUUUCUGCCCGCUCAGCACACACUCCCCCUCCCAGACCUGGGCCCAGAGCCCCUGCCAGCCAAUCAGCCGCCGUGUCCUGGGCAUUCCUGCCCCGCUCGGCUGGCCUGGGAUGGUGCAAGAAGGGGAGAAGCCUGAGCUGAUCGAUCCCCACAGGCCCCCACCACCCCACCCCACCCCCGGCCGAGAGAGCAGCCUUGAGGUGAUGCUGCUAUAAAUCCCCAGGGCAGCUGACUCCCGCCCUUUCCGGAAACCUGCAUCUUGGCUUUUUUGGUUCUGUGAACUGCCCAGCAACACGCCGAUAAAUUCCCUUCGUGUUUAAGUUGGCCGGCGUUUGUUUCCGUGGCUGAAGACCAAAGCCACCCCGGGGCAGAAACAGCGCAUGGCUCGCCAGACACUGCAUGUUCCUUUGGCCUCUGCACCGUCCUCCCGCGGUGGAUUCAGCUCCGGGCGCAGGCCCCUUGGACACUGCGACUUGCACAAGGCGAUCUGACAAGUAAGAGAGGAAGGAAUACACACGACACAGAGACACCAAAUUGAGAGCUAGGAGCCCUCGCUCUGCUCAAACACAAAUCAAAAGCAUCAUCACGAAGACAAAAACAUUGAUUGGACCAAGGAAGUGUCACUGGCCUCUAACACACCAUCCGGCAGAAAUAUAAUGUGAGGCACAAAUGCAAUUUUAAAUUUUCUAGGAGCUGCGUUAAAAUGGUGAAAAGAAGGCGCCUGGGCGGCUCAGUUGGUUAAGCGACUGCCUUCGGCUCAGGUCAUGAUCCUGGAGUCCCGGGAUCGA